UGGCGGACGGGUGAGUAACGCGUGGAUAACCUGCCGUAUACAGGGGGAUAACACCUGGAAACAGGUGCUAAUACCGCAUAAGCGCACGGUCCCGCAUGGGACAGUGUGAAAAGCUCCGGCGGUAUACGAUGGAUCCGCGUCUGAUUAGCCAGUUGGCGGGGUAACGGCCCACCAAGGCGACGAUCAGUAGCCGGCCUGAGAGGGCGGACGGCCACAUGGGACUGAGACACGGCCCAGACUCCUACGGAAGGCAGCAG
rnacentral:rRNA from 1 species